GAUGAACGCUGGCGGCGUGCCUAAUACAUGCCAGUCGAGCGAACGGACGAGAAGCUUGCGUCUCUGAUGUUAGCGGCGGACGGGUGAGUAACACGUGGAUAACCUACCUAUAAGACUGGGAUAACUUCGGGAAACCGGAGCUAAUACCGGAUAAUAUUUUGAACCGCAUGGUUCAAAAGUGAAAGACGGUCUUGCUGUCACUUAUAGAUGGAUCCGCGCUGCAUUAGCUAGUUGGUAAGGUAACGGCUUACCAAGGCGACGAUGCAUAGCCGACCUGAGAGGGUGAUCAGCCACACUGGGACUGUGACACGGUCCACACUCCUACGGGAGGUAGCAGUAGGGUAUCUUCCGCAAUGGGCGAAAGACUGACGGAGCAACGCCGCGUGAGUGAUGAUGGUCUUCGGAUCGUAAAACUCUGUUAUUAGGGAAGAACAUAUGUUUAAGUAACUGUGCACAUCUUGACGGUACCUAAUCAGAAAGCCACGGCUAACUACGUG
rnacentral:rRNA from 1 species